rnacentral:rRNA from 1 species
GACGAACGCUGGCGGCGUGCCUAACACAUGCAAGUCGAGCGAGAGACUUCGGUCUCUAGCGGCGGACGGGUGAGUAACACGUGGGUAACCUGCCUCAUAGAGGGGGAUAGCCUUCCGAAAGGAAGAUUAAUACCGCAUAACAUCAAGUUGUCGCAUGGCAGUUUGAUCAAAGGAGUAAUCCGCUAUGAGAUGGACCCGCGGCGCAUUAGCUAGUUGGUGAGGUAACGGCUCACCAAGGCGACGAUGCGUAGCCGACCUGAGAGGGUGAUCGGCCACAUUGGAACUGAGAUACGGUCCAAACUCCUACGGGAGGCAGCAGUGGGGAAUAUUGCACAAUGGGCGAAAGCCUGAUGCAGCAACGCCGCGUGAGUGAUGAAGGCCUUCGGGUUGUAAA